CAGCGAGGAAAAAUAUUAGGGAAAACAGAAAAACGGAGACAAGGAACGAAAACGUGUCAGUGACAGAGAGAACAGAAUAAAGCAAGGACAAUGUUAUUAAAAGAAAGGGUUAAGAUAGUCAAAGUCCAGAGCCCCCGAAGAGACGAAGUAACACAAGAUACAACAAUCUCCAGGCUGGACCCACUUCUGCCCACACUGAAGACCUUGUGUUGAGCUAAAGACGCUACUUCAGCACCUUCACUGGCGCCACCGCUGUUGUUACCAGCUCCUCCACCUACAAAUAAAACGCAGCAGGGUGCAGCAAUUGUGGGUGAGUCUCUGGGGAAC